rnacentral:rRNA from 1 species
UACGUAGGGUGCGAGCGUUAAUCGGAAUUACUGGGCGUAAAGCGUGCGUAGGCGGUCCCGCAAGUCCGCUGUGAAAGCCCCGAGCUUAACUUGGGAACUGCAGUGGAAACUAUGGGACUUGAAUCCGGCAGAGGGGGGUGGAAUGCCACGUGUAGCAGUGAAAUGCGUAGAGAUGUGGCGGAACACCGAUGGCGAAGGCAGCCCCCUGGGCCAACACUGACGCUCAGGCACGAAAGCGUGGGGAGCAAACAGG